GCUGAUGGUGCUUUUGCAAAUAUCAUUUCCCUUGCUGAUUCUAGAAAGAAGGGUUAGAUUUCUUUUCACCAGAUCAGAGAGAUUCUGCAGUAGGCAGAUCUCCCAGGAGGAUCUCCACAGCUUCUCCAAACCAACUUGUUCAAAAAGACACCUACAACGUGAUCUUAGCAUUUGUGGCACAUACUCCGUUUAAUCCAGAUUGGAUACAUCAGGUACAGCAGUGGCACAAGACUCAAUACUGUAAAUGAUAUACAAGUUGCAACAUAUGCACUACAAUUCAAAAAGAAGACGACAAGAAACUCAGAGUUCUUCAGAAAGUUGUUCUCAAAUGAAUCUACCUGCAAUUUUGUACAGUACAUUUUUGUAUCGGUCAUUUUGUGAUGUUGGUAAGCAAAGCCCAUUUAUAGUACCAAAAUAGAAAAUAAUAAGGUCGAGAGAAUUUCUCGUAACAACAUAAAACCUCUAAAGAAAACACCAUUGCAUUGGAAUGUCUCGCUUAUUAUCAAAAAUAUACCAUCACACGCGCUUUGUAAAAUAUUUCAUUGGUCCGAGGAGCCAGCUGGAACUCCGGUCAUAGUUGCAACAGAACUGAGAGGAGCGCUCAGUAUGGUUAUUAACCUCUCACCCACGCAGAUAUGUAGCCUGCUUUGACUAGCACUAGUUGAAAAUGAGAGGAAGCGUGCACGCACGCACACGCAUAUACAUACAAAAAUAACAAACUAUUGACUGAAGACGAGACUUGGCAGGAAUUUUUCACAAAUUAGUUAUCAUUUGGUCUUGUUGACUGAUCAACCUGAAAUCUUUCUGGCACAGUGUUGUUACCUCGAAUGUGUGUAAUAAUACUUCUCCCUUCUCUAGCGCCUUUCAGGUGAGGGUUGCUAAAGAACAGGCUGCUGAAUUGAGCUUCUCUGUAUUCCUGAGAAUCAGGGAAGCAUUUUCAUCCACACUUACCCCUGGGUAAACAGGGUUAAAAUGGGGAUGUGUGACCUUUUCCAGAUCACUUACCCAUCUGCAAAAAAGCCAAGGACAGGACCUAGGUAUUUUGCUUCUAACCCUUCCCCAGAUCUCAUCAGGAAACAACACUGCUGCUCAUUAUUCUUCCCGAGACCCUAAAAGGAAAUCAUCAUUUGGAAGGAAGUUUGACUAUUGUUUUAUGGCAUGGUUAACUGUAAAGCCUAGCACCUGAGUUACAAAAUCACAAAUCCAGUGCAGUUGAUUAAAACUUUAAAGAACAAAACAUUAUUUGCUUGUCAAUUAGAGCAUUUAACUAGCAACAGGGCUGGCUAGAGAAGUGGGGAAUGAUUUUUGAUAAUUCACAACCACAAGGGAAAAUUUAGUAUGUGAAAAAGUGUCAAUAUUUUUAAACUAGCUUUAAACUUGGAAUUAAGGCCCUCUGUUCAGAAGCUUUGCUGCUUGGGUGCUACUGGAUGCCUAUUUGCAGCUUCACCUCAGUCUAAUAUAGAUUGUAGCAUAUUGCCUUGUUCAAGGGGGCACUGCAAACUAUUGGCUAAAUGUGAUUUUUUUUUUUUUUUAAGGUCCUCAGCCAGCUUUAGAACAAGUGCAAUGGACAGCGCAUUUGCCCUGUGUCUACUUUUGCAACAGCCGUGCUUCUCCAGUGGGUCCAUUCCUGCUGUUUCGCCUCCUCCCCCCAGGAAUACAUCCUCUGGGAUUCUGGACUUCCUGCUGCAAGAAGAGUGACAGAAGCAGAAGGAGCCAGUUCUGUGUCCUCUCUUCGGGGGUAAAUGCCUGCAGUGCAUUUCCUGAGCCUAUCUGUGCAAACGCUUUUUCUCCUGCAACUGCAGAGCUUGUACCUCUCCUACUCCUUGGUGAAGCAGCUCUCCUUUCUCUGCGUAGCACUCUGGGAAGCUGCGUUAUAGGUAGCACACCAACCCCUGAUCCAUACUACUAUUUCACUGAGGGAGAACAAACCUGGCCUCUGGUGCCUGCGAGUGCAGAGAUUUGCCUUGGGGAAACAUCCUUUGGUCCUGCUCAGUGAAGUGUUAACCAGAGGCCCAGCCUCCUUUAAAAGCUGGCUUUGCCUUACACUGCUGGAAUCGAGUCUCAUGGAUUUUCCCCUCCUUGUUCUUCACAAGGCUUCCUGCUGAACCAGAGACUGAGUGUGGUGGCACCUGCCAAUGCAAGGGCAGAACAGUUAAUUGCAUGUUUCUCAUUAAGAAGGAUCUCUCCUGUUCAGAUUGCAGCAAAGGCAGGACAGCCCAAUCUGACCAGGCAAAGAGGGGCUGCAGCCACUGUGUCCUGCUCUUCUUGAUGAAGCCACUGGCAACAAGAACGGUGAAUUUCCAGAAAAGCAAUUAAGUGCCCUGACAGGACUUGAGGUAGGGACAGUCAUUAUCAUUCUCCUAUAGGUGCAUAUCAGGGGAACAUUUCACUCAUGCUUUGACUAGGUGCAAACGGCAGCAAGUUGCUGGAGAUUUGGCCCCCUGCUCCACAGAGCUAACAAUGGCCAGGAGCGGACAAUGAGGUGUAAUGAGGGGCAGUGAAAUUCAGCCAAGAAAGCACAGGUUGGAUGUAGCCUAAAGAAACCCUGCUGCAGAAGAAACAGAAGCAUCAAGAAAGCCCAGUGCCCAAGUUGUUUGGAACAGUCUUGGAGAGAAGGUACCAAGGGGAGCUCUGCAGCCCUGAGACAAAUGACCGUCAGCUGGUGCCAUUACCACAAACUUGGCUGUAGCCUUAUCAUUCCUAGAAUGGUGUAAGUUUCUAAGGAGGUUACUGCGCUAGCCCAUCAGCUUUCAGCAUCCACAUUACACAGAGGAAUUGGCCAAGGAUGCCGGCCAGGUAAGGUUGAUAGUUUGUAUUUUGAAAUUGGUAUGUCUCUAGCUAGCUGUGUGACAGUGGUAUAUAUUUUGGGAGAUAUAUAAAGAGGCACGAGGUAUAAAUUAUAUAGAAUGAUGCAAGGGGAUAUAAUUGGGAGUAAUGGCAUGAAAAGUAAGGGAAGAAGAAUUACCCUUUGCCUUCCAGAAUCCCUCACAGUGCUACAAAGGGUAGUGUGUCAGUAAAAUUGCUAUUUACUCUUUGGCGAAAGGAAAACUCAAAAUGCCUCCUAACUGUCCGCAGCCUGUCAGCUCCAUGGGGCAGGAUUUGUGUCUGACCGUGUGUUUGUACAGCCCCUACCACAACAAGGCCACAAUCAUCCUUGGAUCUGUUGGGCACAUGUAUGACGCUCGAGAAGACUUCACGCUGUAUCUGAGGGCAACGCAGUAAUCACACGAAGGUGACCUACCUCAUUGUUAAGUGAGGUUACUGAACUGCGCUUGUGGGGGAUCUAAGGAGGGCAAAGUAAGAAAUGAUUUUCUCUUCGUUUUCCCUAGAGGAUAACAUUAAGUUGAAAACGAGCCCAAGAAAGAUCUCAGAGAGAACAGUCAGUGUUCGCCACAGGACGAGUUAGAUGUAUUUGCUGUUCGUGGCAGUACCACGCAGAGAUAUGGUUUUUGACUGAUUAAAAAGCAUGUGACUUUACCCAGACUCUUGAGUAGAGCUGCAAAGGAAAGCUCUGUCUGUACCACCCCAUCUCAAAUGUAUUCCAACCCUCCAUACCACUCCUCCUUGCAUGGUCACAUGUGGUAGCUCCUGUGCUGGGAUGAAAGAACUAAAAUUGCUAACCUAGUUUGCCUCCUAAGCCAAUGCAACCCAGAAGCCACUGGCUAAACCGAUUGGAGCCAUGGGACUGGGCAAAAAAAGCCAAACACCCUGUCAGUCCGUGCAAGAUGGUCGGCUCCAGGGUUAAUUUUAUCAAGCAUCGAUCCAGACACUCAGUGGCUACUAUUUACAAUGGGCUGCAUAUAUAUAUUUAUAUAUAAAUAAAAGAAAUGGAAAAGCAUGGGUAUAGAUUACAGAGUACGUUCUGUCGGACUCAUGGACACCCAGUGCAGUUGAGUUUAGUGCUUUCGCCUUCUUUGCUAUUUGUGUGCACAGGAUUAAAAAAAAAAAAAAA